rnacentral:rRNA from 1 species
UACGGGGGGGGGCAAGCGUUGUUCGGAAUUACUGGGCGUAAAGGGCUCUAGGUGGCCAACUAAGUCAGACGUGAAAUCCCUCGGCUUAACCGGGGAACUGCGUCUGAUACUGGAUGGCUUGAGUUUGGGAGAGGGACGCGGAAUUCCAGGUGUAGCGGUGAAAUGCGUAGAUAUCUGGAGGAACACCGGUGGCGAAGGCGCGUCCUGGACCAACACUGACACUGAUGAGCGAAAGUGUGGGGAGCGAAC